rnacentral:rRNA from 1 species
GACAAACGCUGGCGGCGUGCUUAACACAUGCAAGUCGAACGGAAAGGCCCUGCUUUUGUGGGGUGCUCGAGUGGCGAACGGGUGAGUAACACGUGAGUAACCUGCCCUUGCCUUUGGGAUAACUUCAGGAAACUGGGGCUAAUACCGGAUAGGCGCUCCUGCUGCAUGGUGGGGGUUGGAAAGUUUCGGCGGUUGGGGAUGGACUCGCGGCUUAUCAGCUUGUUGGUGGGGUAGUGGCUUACCAAGGCUUUGACGGAUAGCCGGCCUGAGAGGGUGACCGGCCACAUUGGGACUGAGAUACGGCCCAGACUCCUACGGGAGGCAGCAGUAGGGAAUAUUGCACAAUGGGCGGAAGCCUGAUGCAGCAACGCCGCGUGCGGGAUGACGGCCUUCGGGUUGUAAACCGCUUUCGCCUGUGACGAAGCGUGAGUGACGGUAAUGGAUAAAGAAGCACCGGCUAACUACGUG